GCCUAACACAUGCAAGUCGAGCGGAAACGACAUUAUUGAAUCUUCGGAGGAUUUAAUGGGCGUCGAGCGGCGGACGGGUGAGUAAUGCCUAGGAAAUUGCCUUGAUGUGGGGGAUAACCAUUGGAAACGAUGGCUAAUACCGCAUAAUGCCUACGGGCCAAAGAGGGGGAUCUUCGGACCUCUCGCGUCAAGAUAUGCCUAGGUGGGAUUAGCUAGUUGGUGAGGUAAUGGCUCACCAAGGCGACGAUCCCUAGCUGGUCUGAGAGGAUGAUCAGCCACACUGGAACUGAGACACGGUCCAGACUCCUACGGGAGGCAGCAGUGGGGAAUAUUGCACAAUGGGCGAAAGCCUGAUGCAGCCAUGCCGCGUGUAUGAAGAAGGCCUUCGGGUUGUAAAGUACUUUCAGUUGUGAGGAAGGGGGUAACGUUAAUAGCGUUAUCUCUUGACGUUAGCAACAGAAGAAGCACCGGCUAACUCCGUGCCAGCAGCCGCGGUAAUACGGAGGGUGCGAGCGUUAAUCGGAAUUACUGGGCGUAAAGCGCAUGCAG
rnacentral:rRNA from 1 species